rnacentral:lncRNA from 1 species
AGAACUAGUCUUAAUCACUUGGGUUAUGAAAACAGAAGAAUGGCAUUACCUCUAUUUUCAACCCAGAGAUGGACAAAUUUUUUGUAUCCUAAAGCUCCAUAUUGCCUGACUGUUCAAUGUAUUGUAUUAAGAACUGCAUAUUCAGUGGUGACACUCAGACUGCAUUCAAGCUACAUCAGCACAUUUAGUGAAAGUCUUUUAAGGAUAUUAUUUGGACAUAAGACUUCAUGGACCUUUUUUGUGCAUCUUAGCUUGCAUUUCUGAACAUUGAAGCUUUUAAUUUCUGACCCUGGUUCAACAGGUAAAAUUACUUCUGUGAAAGCAAAAUGAUCAUUUGUCUUCUACAUUUCCAAAUUCUAAA